CCAAGUUCAGUUCAGUUUAUUCGAAAGUUUUCAACAUUGUAGAGGAGUGCUUAGAGAUGUAUGAUUUACCUGGAUAAUGUACCGAAUCGAAAAUAGAAGAUAGGCAACAGCAAGUAGGAUCCCACCAAUGACCCAAUUUGAAUAUGAAAGUUGAAGUAAAGUAGAAGAUGGUGAUGGAGAGGAAAAAACUUGGGGGCCUUUGUAAAGAACAACUAAUAGUACGCCUGAAAUUGAUGCUAUGGUCCCCAUGAUUUUAGCUUGACUGGUUGAGCUUCUCAAUGCUACUCUUUCCAAUCUUGUUAUUUUUAGCAUCAAACCAAAGGUAGAAACAAUAAAAAUUAUUGUUUAGUGCUUUUUUAAAAAAAAAUCUAAUAAAAUCCACUCAAAAUUUAUUUAACUAUUACUCUGAAUUGAAUAUUAGAAUCAAAAUCGGUGCUUGGUUUGAUUAGGAAGAGGAAGAAACCUGAAAAGAACCGCCAGUAUGAAGGUAAAAGCUGGUGAGAGAUUACGAAUAGUAGAAGCAAGAGUUGGGUUGCUAUAAUCUAUACCCUUAUAUGCACAUACUUGAGCAAAAAACCUGCCCCCAGAAAAGGGAAAAAAAACACUCUUAGAUAGAAAUCUUUCCAAGAAUCGAAAAUAUAUAUGAUCACAUGUGAGAAAAUAUUUACAGUGAUUCAAUACCCAAUAAGGCCAAGUAGGAAAAUUCUAAAGCCAAGGUGGAAUUUCAAUGAGGGAAGCACACGUCCACUGCACUACAAACAAGCAAAUUUUCAAUGGUGUUGAGUGGUCAUAAAUGUAAAAAAUGCCUUGAUAAUAUUAAGAAAACAAAAUUAUUAAAUUCUUCUAUUAGUUUUAUGUAUGGAUUUAGUAUUUUUAUUUUAAUUAAAUUAUUUUUAAUUAUUAAAAUUUUAUUUUUCUCUAAAUUAUAGUUAUUAAAUUUAUUAAGUUAAAUUAUUUUUUUAAAAUUUUAUAUUAUCACUAUAAAUAUCAUAAUUAUAAUUUUAAAAUAUAAAAUUUAAAAAAUAACUAAAUUUACAACUUAGGUAUCAUACAAACCUAAUAACAUAACUUGAUCUAAUAAAUUUACUACCAAAAUUAAAAUUAUAAAAUUGGAAAAGUAGAGUAAUAACCAAAUCUGGGCAAAGAAAAAACGUAAAAGAUGACCUGGGAAAGAGGAAGGAUAAAGGGAGGAGAAGAAGAGCCCCAAUAGCGUAAGUGUAAGUAAUGAAGAUGAAGUAGCUCAUCCCCUUUGAAGUUGCUUUUUUGAAUAGAACGUUUAGCCCUACAUUAGUGCACUCUAUUGCAACCAUGGCUGUUAAUGGCAGAACAUCGUUGUAGCAGUACCUUCUUGCCAUCUGAAUCUCCUGCUUCUCAAUGGUAUUUCUCAAAAUAAUAUACAAUAGUCAAAAGGACUACAAAAAUGGGGAAUCUUUUUCUUUCAUGUUAAAUUUGUCUUUUAUAAAUAACUUUAAAUCAUAAAUUUAUACUAUUAUUUACACUCCUAUUUGAUUUGGUAUUAUGAGUCAAUCAAAUACAACUCGGUUAGGAAAAUUAUUAAAAUGUUUUUUUAUUUAAAAUAAGUUAUAUUAUCCGAGAGUAUUUUAGUUUUUUUUUAAAUUUUAAAAUAAACAAUAAAAGAUAUACAUCUUGCGAGAUAUGAACCCAAGCCAAGUGUAUUAGAAAUACCUUAAAUUUACCUCUCAACCAAAACUUUGUUUUAAUAUUUUAUACAUUUUAAUUUUAUUAUAUAAACAUUAUUACCUCCGUAAAUUGUAUAUAUUAAUAAUAUUGUCGAUUGAGUUGAUAUCAUAAGUUGACUCGUCACGGCGCCAUCAACUCAAGAUUGAUGACAACACCAUCGCAAACAUUUCUAGAACAUUUAAUAUUUUUAAUUUAAUGUAUUUAUAUGUUUAAAUGUCGUUUACUUGCAAUUUGAUCUAUAUUUUUUCAUUCGUAUACAUUGCACUAUACGUCUUAUUAUUUCUUGUAUGUUAUUUUUAAAUACACUCAUAUGUUCUAAAUAUGUAGUUUCCACACUUAUGCACGUAUGAUAAAUUUAUAAUGGUAUAAAAGGCUGCUAACAAUAUCCCAAAAUUCAAUGUGUGUGUCAUUUUUUUUGUAAAAAUUUCAAAUUUCAUCAAAUAAAUUCAUUUAGCAAUAUUUUUUGUAAGUUAAACAUAUUCCUCUCUAACUAAUCAUUAGUAGUACACAAAAUUCAACGAAUAAUUUAAAAUUAAAAAAUUAUAAAAAUUAUUACAAAACAUCAAAUUGUUAUUGUAAUGCCCUCAAACCGACUCAAUCCAUCGGGUCCAGAUUUCGGUGUUACUACACAUGAUACUUAACAAAAUAUCGAACAAUUGACAAACAAUCCUUACUUAAAACAUUUUUCUUGUUAACUUUGUCGAAACCGUCUUUUUUGUAAAACAAAAAUUUAGUUGUCGACUUUAAAAACAAAAGUUGGAGUCGCCACCAAUCCUUGAUUGAGGUGUGACCGGCUCACCUUAAAAACAAUUUUGGUCUACGAAAUUUGAGAAAAUAGGUUCGGGAGUCAGUUAAGCACGAGGAAGGGUUAGCACCCUCGUAAUGCCCAAAAUCGGUAACAAAUUGAUUAUUUAAUGUCUUGGUGUCGAAAAUUUGAAAAGAUUUUAAAAGGAGACUUUUUAUUUCAUGAAUGAAUCAAAAUAAUAAGACAUUCUUAUUUCAAAGAAAUAAAACACCACACCCAGUGAGUUAGGGCACAAUAUUUUUAAAUCUUCAAAAUACCCGAAUAUUGCCUUUUGCUUUUGAAAAUUCUUAUUUCGAGAAGUCAAAAUAUCAGGACCAGUAAGUUAGGACCCAACAUUUUUGAACUCCAAGAAUAAGCUUUUAUUUAAAAUUUGCGAAUUUAAUGCAAAAUGAAUACUUAGCAUUCUAAAUUCAUCGAAGAAUAAUCGCAAUCCAGUAAGUUAGGACACGGUCUUUCUCGAGAAUCAUGAAUGCCAAAUACUUUGAAAUUUUAUAAAAUAUGAUGAUUUUAAUGUUUUGACAAAACCAAAGUAUAUUUCCCGGAAGGUAUGUUAAAAGUUAAUGUAUAAUAUGAAACAAACUUUAAUUUAAGACCAAUAUGAAUAAAUAUUUACAAAUAUAUAUACAAGUACGAUAUGCAAGUAAAUUUGCAAACACGUGUACGCUUAUAUCUAACACGCAUAUACAAGUAUACAUGUAAAAAGAAGGAAUGGAGUAUAUCAAACAAAAACAAAUAAAAUGCAUGUAUUGAAAAUAAAAUAAAAAUAUAAAAAUAUGCAUAUGUAUAUAUUUAUAGGAAAAAAAAGUAUAAGUAUACUUGUAUUGGUAAAACAUGAAAAUACGCAUUCGUAUAUCGAUAUAAAGAAUGUUUGUAUGUACAAAAUCUAUGUAAAAAAUCUUUUAAAAUAUGUAUGUAUGUAUGUAUAUUUAUAUGUAACAAUUAUGAAAACAAAGUAAUGAUAAAAUGUACAUACAAUAGGUAUAUAUAUUUAAUAUAUUAAAAUAUAUACAUAUUAACAUGCACAUGCGCAUAUAAGCAUAAUAAUAAUAUAUAAUAUUAUAGUAAAAAUAAUAAAGGAAAAAAAACUAAUAAUAUAAAUAACAUAAACGAAAAAAAAUCUAAAAUACAAGAUUAAAGGUUAAAUUGCGAAUAAGCAAAAUUUAAAUGCUGAUUUCAAAAGUAAAUAGCAAGGGGGAGCAAAUUUAGAAGUGUGCAAUAGGAGGAGGACCGAUCGAGCAAUUUUACCCAGUUUCCAAGACGCUGCGUAGCAAGGGACUAAAUUGAAACGAAAAUCAAAUACGCGGCCCAAUUUAAAAAAAGGUACAAUGGGUCUAAUUGGGGUGCGCUGCAAAAGGUAGGGACCAUCUGCGCAAUUUCCCCUUUAAAGCCAAACGUUUGGAUCCUCCCCUUCGGGUCGGGUCACUGCGCGGGUCGCACCUGGCUAAAACGCCGCUGUUUUGUCUUUAAUACUAAAACCAAAAUUUUCUUUCUAAACAACAAUUCUAUUUCAUUUUUUCUUUUUCUUUAAAACAGCAGAGGGGAAAAAGGGAGGGGGCUGACUCUCUGCUAGGGUUCAACCCUAGCCCCUUCAUGCCGCCGCCGUCAUGGAGCCACCGCGUACGGCACUCGAAACCAACGCCCGAACCCAGGUAAGCGCCCUUUUCCUUCCUUUUUAUUUUAAAUGAAAAAUAAAUAAGAAAAAUCAAAAAUAAAAAAACACAAUUCACCUUCGAAAAAAAUUUGGAAUCUCAGUCUUUCUCUCUAUUUUCGUCUAUUUUUUACACUGCAAAAAUUCCCCCAGAUACAAAUUUUCAUCGGCUUUAUAUAGUCGAUUAACACCAAAAAUCUGAAAAAAAAUCAAAAACCCAUUUCUUUCAGUUAUUUGCUGCGCUUGUGUCCCCCCUUUUCACAGGUUUGGUGACCGUGGAGUGCGCGCGAUGAGCGCGGAGCGACAAGCGUGGCGUGUGGGUGCUAUUGCGGCGUGCAUGUGGGAGCUGCUGCGCCUAGGGUUCCUGCUGGUGUUUUGGGUGCUAUUGCGGCGUGCAUGUGGGAGCAAGCUUGGUUUAGUAACUUGGGCCAUUGGGUUUCAAUUAUUGGGUUUUAGUUUACAUUUUUUUUAUUUGUAUGUGGGCUGAGUUUAGUAGGUUGGGUCUAGUAUUUCGGCCUAUUUAUUUACUUGGGCCCGGGCAUUAUUGGGCUUGUACAGCUGUCCCUCUUUGCUCAUUGUCGUGUAACGGGAAUAGAGCAAAGACUAAAAGCCCAAUUGUGCCCGGUCUUACUGAGCCUCGCCUUCUUCAGUGCUUUUCUUCUUCAAGUAACUACAUUCCCUCUUACUGCAUGUUCAGAGGUAUAGGAACUGGUGCUUCGAUCUACCCCAUUGCAUUUUCGGGGAGAUAGGAUUCAUAUGUUGUAGGUUCUUGAAAGAAAAAAAAUUUGCUAUCUUUAAUCUGCUCCACUGCAUAUUCAGAGAGAUAAGACUUAUAACUUCAACUUGUUCUGCUACGACUUAAAGAUAAAUCGGAUGCGAUCUGCUCUACUGUAAUUUCACAGAGAUGAGAUCUGUGAUUUUAAUCCACUCCAUUGCAACUCCAAGGAGAUAGGAUUGGUUAUUUCUGUCUGGUCCACUGUAACUUCAGGAAGACAAGACUUGUAUCUUCGAUCUACUUCGCCACCAGUAUGGGAAGACAAGAUCUGCUCUCUUUGAUCUACUGCAUGCCAAUACAUGAAGACAAGAUCUGCUUUCUUCGAUCUACUCCACGCCAAUACAUGAAGGCAAUAUCUUCUUUCUUCGAUCGAUUCCACUACCGAUCAGGGAGUUAGAAUUACUAGCUUCAAUAUACUCCACUGUAACCUCAGGGAGGUAAAAUCCACCAUCUUUGAUCUGCUCCACUACUGCUUAGGGAGAUAAGAUCUGUAAUCUUCAAUCUAUUCCACUGUUGCCCAAGGAGAUGGAAUUCAAUGUACUCCACUGUAACCUCAUGGAGGUAAAAUUCGCCAUCUUCGAUCUGCUCCACUACUGCUUAGGGAGAUAAGAUCUGUAAUCUUCAAUCUAUUCCACUGCUGCCCAGGGAGAUAGAAUUACUGGCUUCAAUGUACUCCACUGUAACCUCAGGGAGGUAAAAUCCGCCAUCUUUGAUCUGCUCCUCUACUGCUUAGGGAGAUAAGAUCUGUAAUCUUCAAUCUAUUCCACUGCUGCCCAAGGAGAUAGAAUUACUGGCUUCAAUGUACUCCACUGUAACCUCAGGGAGGUAAAAUCCGCCAUCUUUGAUCUGCUCCUCUACUGCUUAGGGAGAUAAGAUCUGUAAUCUUCAAUCUAUUCCACUGCUGCUCAGGGAGAUAGAAUUACUGGCUUCAAUGUACUCCACUGUAACCUCAGGGAGGUAAAAUCCGCUAUCCUUCAUCUGCUCCACUACUGCUUAGGGAGAUAAGAUCUGUAAUCUUCAAUCUAUUCCACUGCUGCCCAAGGAGAUAGAAUUAUUGGCUUCAAUGUACUCCACUGUAACCUCAGGGAGGUAAAGUCUGCCAUCCUUGAUCUACUCCAUUACUACUUAGGGAGAUAAGAUCUGUAAUCUUCAAUCUAUUCCACUGCUACCCAGGGAGAUAGAAUUACUAGCUUCAAUGUACUCCACUGUAACCUCAAGGAGGUAAAAUCCACCAUAUUUGAUCUGCUCCACUACUUCUUAGGGAGAUAAGAUCUGUAAUAUUUAAUUUAUUCUACUACUGCCUAGGGAGAUAGAAUUACUGGCUUUAAUGUACUCCACUGUAACCUCAGGGAGGUAAAAUCCGCCAUCAACCUGCUUCACUGCAAUCGAGGGAGGUAAGGCUGGUAUCUUCAAUCUGCUUCGCUGUCAAUGUAGGAAGGCAAGAUUUGCUAUCUUUAACUUGCUCUACUGCAACUGAGGGAGGUAAGGCUUUAUUUUCGAUCUGAUUCGCUGUCGGUGCAGGAAGGCAAGAUCUGCUAUUUUCACUGAUCUAUUCUCUGGAGAACAUGACCUGUAUAAUAAACCUAAUUAUGCCUAAUGAUUAGGAUGUCAUGAACAGAAUGAAUCAAAUGCUCCUAACUAGACAUGUAUGAAUGGCAUUUGAAUGAAUGUAGAAUGUCAUGAAAAUGAUAUUUUAACGCUUGAGUUAUCAUUACUCUAAGUUUAUUAAGGUCCUAUCGCUUAAUGUACUAUAGCGCCUUUAUGCUCGGUUGGCGAACCUAAUAAGCACUUGACCAGAUUGCCCCCUCACUGUAAACUUCCAAGUUUAAUCCACUGGGAUGCAAAAUUUGUACCAUCUGUUCCCAUUGUAACCCAAGAGUAAAAGAUUUGGCAUUUUCUCAAUCCUCUGUUAUUACAAUUCAAGGAUACAGGAUGUGAAACUUUUUGGUCUCUUACACCAUUCCCAAGGUGUUGUACCAAAUGCUCAUGCACAAAUGAAGAAAUCUUCUCCAAGAAUAACUUCUUCUUAUUACUCGGUGAUAAUUACUUGCUUGUUCAUUGAAGCUUUGUCACCAAUACGGCAUCCUACCAUUUUGUUCAAUUAAUACUUUAGACAAGAAAAUUCAAAGGGAUAGUCUUAAUUUAGACUCUUCUUUAUCAGAUUUCUAACCUGGUGCGUUCUAAACAAUAGUCCUGUUUGAGGUUCCUAUAUUAUUCAGAAACUUCUAGAGUAAUAUGCAAAACUUCCCUUGUGAAAGUUUUAUUAGUCCAUUAAUCAUUAUUCUAAUACAACAUGCUUGCAAAAAAGAUCAUGGAUAAGAAUUGAGUUGGUUCUAAGCAUAGCUCGAAAUGAAUAAGUUGUCAAAGAUAAUAAAGAUGGAUAACAAAGAAAUUGAUUUAGGAAUGCAUAUCUUGGAAAUGAAUGAAGUGUUCCAAGAAUAACAAAAAAUAAUAUAAGGAUUAGGUGCCCCAGAUAUCGCAGCUUGAACUUCUCUGUACAGAUUUUUUUAAGACCAUUCUAAGUUUAACAUGUGUUUAGGAGUACUUUGUCGAUGCCUCAAGAUGUCGCCUACCAUUUCCUGUUGAUUUCGGUAUAGCAAGACCACUAUAUGCCCCCAUUCUGAUCAGUAUUUGAGCUACUCUGAAAAUUUCAAGCGCCCUUUUGAUCAAUAUUUGAGCCUCCCUUUUUGGGUUUUCAACUCAAAUCCCCUUUGGUCUAAGGCGCCCUUUGCGGGUUUUCACCUUAGCCUCUCCAUUUUACUUUUUCAUUUUUCAUUUUCAUCUUUUUAUUUUUUCACAUCGCUUUUUUUCUUUUUUCUUUUUGGGACUCAAACUGCCCUUUGCGGGUUUUUACCUUGGUCCUCUCCUUUUUUAAGCGAAGUAUUUCCUGACUGAAUCUGAGUUUACAGGACCUUGCAGGUUUAUCAUCCAUCUCGCUCAAAAUCAAAGCUCAUUUGGAAAAAAAACCUUCUCUAUAAUCAUAAGGUUCCUCCCAAUUUGGCAUCCGUUUCCCUCAUUAUAUUUUUUGUAGAGAGAGGAUCUUCAACAUUUGGUCACCCUUAUGGAAUUCUCUAGGAUGAACCUUUUGUUAUAGGCUUACAUCAUUCAUUUCUGGUACAUCUGACCGUGAUGAAUAGCUUUUAAUCUUCUUCCUUCUAUCAAGUUCAAUUGAUCACAUUACGAUCUGAUCUAUUCUGCUUCAUCCAACUUGCUCAGCCAAUACCCAGAGAGAAAAAAUUUCAACUUCAAUAGAAAAAACCGUGAUAAACAGAAAAAAGUGGCACUGCUCCAGUAGAGUUUUCACUGCAUCAUUCAUGAUAUUAACUUCGAACAUACUGCAAAUUUCUGAUAUCGUGCUAUUGUUCAGAUUGCAAUGACAGCGCUUAACCUAGGCAUAUCCUGGUAUGACCAUGCGUAGACAUCUUUGAAUUCUUGAAGUAACUCAACAAUGUAUUGAUUUGUCUUUGAAGUCAUAUCAAUUCCAAUCUUCAACAAGCUCACAACUUUUAAUGAUUCUUUAUGAGGUAAGAUCUGUCUAUCCUCUUAUUCUACCAUCCUCAAUAAGUCUGGAGAUAAGCUACGAUCCAUGUCAUCUUCAAAGUUAUGAGAUCCCUUUGAACACAUGUCUCACUCAAAAGGAGAUUCUGAGUCUGUAGCAGCGUUACUCAUGUCAUUGAUAUUUGGGGACCCAUGGUGGGUACUGAAGAAUAUACAAAAGAAUGUAUGAAUAAUAUGAAUGAAUGAAUGAAUAAUUUGGCAGAAAAAAAUCUGAAAGAAUGAACAAAAUUGUAAAGAAUGAAAGAACAUUUGCUCAAAGAUGAUUGCAAUAAUGUAUUUCAUUAAAAUAAUAAUGUUCAGACGUGAGUCUAUUUCACAAAGAAAUUCCUAUUACUUCUAGGCUGAAAGCAACAAGUGUGUUCUGAACAUUACUCUAACAGACUCUAAAUACUUCAGGAGUUUCCUCUGCAGUCCCAUUAUUUAAAACACCUCUAAGACGAAUAUCUAACAAGGACCCUUUUAAUUGUGUCUGCAUCUAUGGCAUCGAUAUGCAAACUUCUCACCACUUCUUCAUACAUUGCAGUCCCUCUAUCCUCAAUCAUGAUUGGGUAACGGAUUUUCUGCACUUGAUGAGUCACCCAACUUGACAAUACCCAUGUUGAUGAAUUUUUCAACUAGCUUUUUAAAGGUAAUGCAAUUCUCUAUUGAGUGCCCCGUAAUUCCCGCGUGGUAGUCAUAUUGCGCGUUCGCAUCAUACCACUUAGGAUAAGGAGGUUGUGGAGGUUUUAAGUAAUGAUGAGUAACAACAUGCACAUCAAACAAGAUUUGAUACAGAUCCUUAUAUGACAUCGGAAUUGGUGUGAACUGGAGCUUCUCAGUACCUGGUUUCACUCUAGAUUCUUGUCUUAAUAAACCUUGUUGGUUAGUGCCACCUUUCUUGGCUGACUCACAAUAACUGGUUUAGAGUAACUCGUGUUGUGCACCUCACUUUCUCUUUUCUUUGAGAUUGACCUCUUGUUACUCUCCUCUGCAUCAAUUUUCCCGCUCCUUACGGCGUUUUCAAUCAUUUCACCAUUCAUGACUAUGUCAGAAAAGCUUUUUGUGGCAUUUCCUAACAUAUGUGUGAUGAACGGGGCUUUCAAUGUAUUUAUAAAAAGUAUCGUCAUUUUUUUCUCUAAGAGCGGUGGUUGAACUUGGACUGCGACUUCCCUCCAUCUUUGUGCGUACUGCCUAAAGCUUUCGCUCGGCUUCUUCUCCAUGUUUUGAAGGGUAAUUCUAUCAGAAGCCAUGUUUGUCAUAUGACUAUACUGUUUCAUGAAUGCUUGUGCCAAGUCCCUCCAUGAACCAAUCGUGGUACGGCUCAGCUGAUUGUACCACUUAGAUGCUGCCCCUGCUAGGCUAUCUUGGAAACAAUGUAUUAAUAACUGGUCAUUGUUAACAUAUCCAGCCAUUCACCUGUAGAACAUGGUGAUAUGAGCCUCUGGGUAAGUCGUCCCAUUGUACUUCUCGAAUUCUGGCAUCUUAAACUUAUGAGGGAGUACCAAAUCAGGAACUAAGCUCAGCUCUUUAGCGUCAAUCCCACGAUAUCUUUCAGUGACUUCCAUCGCCUUGAAUUUCUCCUCGAGCCAUUUGCACAUUUCUUCUAGCUACUUUGGUAACUCCUCCUUUAUUCUUUCCUGUUCAACCACUUCAUCGAAGUUAGGAAUGACAGAGUUAACAGGGUAAUUUUCAGGGUUAGAGCCCAAUCUAGCUUGAAAGUUCGAAGCACUGGCCUGGGACUGCUGAGGCCUGAUUGUGACAGUGGGUUUGUGCAAAUAUUCAGCUUGAGUUCGAACAUGCGGAGGAGUAAAGUCUGGAGGAUAGAGUGGUUCAUUACCCUCUUCGACAUCAGUCAUGGGACCCUUUCCCUUAUCACCUCCUCCAGUCAACAGUUUGGUCAGCUUCGCCAUCAUAUCAUCUUGGGAUUCUCGCAUCUUCUCAGACAUAUCCUGUUGCAUCUUAUCUAACCGCUCCUGCACCUGUAGCUGAAGCCGGUCUUGCAUCUCCUUCUGACACUGUUCUAGUUUUUCCAAUCUCUGAUCCAUGUCCUUAAUCUUUGCUCGAGUGCCAUAACGGUGCUUGGUCAGUUGGUUGGUUUCCAGGUUAGCUGAGCAAUGAUUUUAGUUAAUUAGGAUCCUUUAACUGUGUUUAAUGCAUAUGAUGUAAUGAAAUGCAAAUGCAUGAAAUGAAUGCGAAAAGAUACAUUGAUUCAUUUUCAAUUUUUUUACUAGAAAACUUUACUAGAAAACAGAUCUCUUCACAUAAAGCGGACAUAUAUAUACGGCUUUACCCUCAUACUCCAAGUGAAGACAUCGACCCUUCAGAUAUUAAGAUGUAUCUCACGAAUUUGAUCUCCUUUUUGUUUGAUCUAGGUCGUAAAUCCUUGCUCAUUCACGUUCAUUAGCUUCUUUAUGAUAUUGGAACAUUUGAUGACUUUUGAAUAAACUUUGACAAUUUGGAUCCUCAGGUCAUGCAGCAAAGUCGUAUACUCCUCUUGUUAGGCUUUUCGUGCCAUGUUUUCUUCAGACCAUCGUAUUAUCUUCCACAUUAUCAAGAAACCCGUAUUCUAUAACAAGCUUUCUAAUCUGGUAAUCAAACUCAAAUCAACAUCUCUUUUGUAAGUUGCAAAUGCAAUGCAAUCAUGAUGUCAUGCAAUCAAAACAAAAUAAAACCAAGUCAGUAUCACACCAAAAAUAUAUAAUCCAACACAAAUAUGAAAUAGCAAGAACAUUUAUUCAGGAAUCCACUAGGGUUUGGUAUAGCUCUACCUAGGGCAAGUUCCUAAAGCUCAUUAUAUGAGGCUUAGUUUCUAGAGUAAAGGUACCCAAACCAGCAGAUUCCUCGAUCCUCACCCAUUAUAGGCUCAUGUGGAUCGAGUUCAGUUUAGGGAGAUACAUUUCCCUAUGGCUGCACGGAUAUGAAAAUCUCACGAAGACAUAGGUACGGAUGUAUCCCGGAAGCGGUCCACUACCCUGCACAGAGGUGAAAACCUUACGAAGGACUAGUUUCUCGCUCCCACUUAAGGGGGUAAAACGGACCAUGCAAUGCAAAAUGCAAAAUUGCCAACAUACCAAUAUGAAAAAACAAUGAAUGCGAAGAGAACUCAUGAUUUUUUUAAAAACUUUUGACUUUCGACAAAAAGAUAAAGCAUAAUCAAUUCAUGGCUCGACUCUCAAAUUCUCCAGUGGAGUCGUCAAGCUGUCGAAACUGUCUUUUUUGUAAAACAAAAAUUUAGUUGUCGACUUUAAAAACAAAAGUUGGAGUCGCCACCGAUCCUUGAUUGAGGUGUGAGCGGCUCACCUUAAAAAUAAUUUUAGUCUACGAAAUUUGAGAAAAUAGGUUCGGGAGUCAGUUAAGCACGAGGAAGGGUUAGCACCCUCGUAACGCCCAAAAUCGGUACCAAAUUGAUUAUUUAAUGUCUUGGUGUCGAAAAUUUGAAAAGAUUUUAAAAGGAGACUUUUUAUUUCAUGAAUGAAUCAAAAUAAUAAGACAUUCUUAUUUCAAAGAAAUAAAACACCACACCUAGUGAGUUAUGGCACAAUAUUUUUAAAUCUUCAAAAUACCCGAAUAUUGCCUUUUGCUUUUGAAAAUUCUUAUUUCGAGAAGUCAAAAUAUUAGGACCAGUAAGUUAGGACCCAACAUUUUUGAACUCCAAGAAUAAGCUUUUAUUUAAAAUUUGUGAAUUUAAUGCAAAAUGAAUACUUAGCAUUCUAAAUUCAUCGUAGAAUAAUCGCAAUCCAGUAAGUUAGGACACGGUCUUUCUCGAGAAUCAUGAAUGCCAAAUACUUUGAAAAUUUAUAAAAUAUGAUGAUUUUAAUGUUUUGACAAAACCAAAGUAUAUUUCCCGGAAGGUAUGUUAAAAGUUAAUGUAUAAUAUGAAACAAACUUUAAUUUAAGACCAAUAUGAAUAAAUAUUUACAAAUAUAUAUACAAGUACGAUAUACAAGUAAAUUUGCAAACACGUGUACGCAUAUAUCUAACACGCAUAUACAAGUAUACAUGUAAAAAGAAGAAAUGGAGUAUAUCAAACAAAAACAAAUAAAAUACAUGUAUUGAAAAUAAAAUAAAAAUAUAAAAAUAUGCAUAUGUAUAUAUUUAUAGGGAAAAAAAGUAUAAGUAUACAUGUAUUGGUAAAACAUGAAAAUAUGCAUUCGUAUAUCGAUAUAAAGAAUGUUUGUAUGUACAAAAUCUAUAUAAAAAAUCUUUUAAAAUAUGUAUGUAUAUUUAUAUGUAACAAUUAUGAAAACAAAGUAAUAAUAAAAUGUACAUACAAUAGGUAUAUAUAUUUAAUAUAUUAAAAUAUAUAUAUUAACAUGCACAUGCGCAUAUAAGCAUAAUAAUAUAUAACAUUAUAAUAAAAAUACUAAAGGAAAAAAAAACUAAUAAUAUAAAUAACAUAAAAGAAAAAAAAUCUAAAAUACAAGAUUAAAGGUUAAAUUGCGAAUAAGCAAAAUUUAAAUGUUGAUUUCAAAAGUAAAAAGCAAGGGGGAGCAAAUUUAGAAGCGCGCAAUAGGAGGAGGACCGAUUGAGCAAUUUUACCCAGUUUCCAAGACUCUGCGUAGCAAGGGACUAAAUUGAAAUGAAAAUCAAAUAGCGGCCCAAUUUAAAAAAAAGGUACAGUGGGUCUAAUUGGGGUGCGCUGCAAAAGGUAGGGACCGUCUGUGUAAUUUCCCUUUUAAAGCCAAAGGCGCGGAUCCUCCCCUUCGGGUCGGGUCACCGUGCGGGUCGCACUUGGCUAAAACGGCGCCGUUUUGUCUUUAAUACUAAAACCAAAAUUUUCUUUCUAAACAACAAUUCUAUUUCAUUUUUUCUUUUUCUUUAAAACAGCAAAGGGGAAAAAGGGAGGGGGCUGACUCUCUCCUAGGGUUCAACCCUAGCCCCUUCAUGCCGCCGCCGCCGUGGAGCCACCGCGUACGGCACUCGAAACCAAUGCCCGAACCCAGGUAAGCGCCCUUUCCCUUCCUUUUUAUUUUAAAUGAAAAAUAAAUAAGAAAAAUCAAAAAUAAAAAAACACAAUUCACCUUCGAAAAAAAUUUGGAAUCUCAGUCUUUCUCUCUAUUUUCGUCUGUUUUUUACACUGCAAAAAUUCCCCCAGAUACAAAUUUUCAUCGGCUUUAUAUAGCCGAUUAACACCAAAAAUUCAAAAAAAAAUAAAAAAACCACUUCUUUCCGUCAUUUGCUGCGCUUGUGUCCCCCUUUUUCGCAGGUUUGGUGACCGUGGAGUGCGCACGACGAGCGCAGAGCGACAAGCGUGGCGUGUGGGCGCUGUUGCGGUGUGCGUGUGGGAGCUGCUGCGCCUAGGGUUCCUGUAACUUGGGCCAUUGGGUUUCAAUUAUUGGGUUUUAGUUUACAUUUUUUUAUUUGUAUAUGGGCUGGGUUUAGUAGGUUGGGUCUAGUAUUUGGGCCUAUUUAUUUACUUGGGCCCGGGCAUUAUUGGGCUUGUACAAACUUAAUUGAGAGACUUAAUAUUUGAGAACAAAAAAAGUAUUAAAUAUAAAAUUUUACACUAAACUUGUUACAACUCAUUACAAUAUCAAUGUUUGUUAAAGAUAGACUCUUAGGGGGUAACCCCAAUCUACGCCACUUUUUCACUGUAUGCAUAAUAACCCACUUCGUCGCUAUCUUGGUGUCAUCCCUCCUGGCGCAUUCUCUUACCACAAUACCUGAAACAAUAACAGAUAUUGUAAGUUCAAGAGAACUUAGUGAGCUUUACUACAAAAUACCUUGGCGGGUUCUAUAAUAUUUAAAGAUAAUUUGUGUGCCAACAUUCCCUUUGAACACUUACUUCUAUAUCGGCGGAUAACAUAACAGCCAAUACGGCACGGGUCACAGCCACCUCUGGGUCGGGUCAUCGGGUAUGGACCAAUACGGCACCGUUUUGGAGCCACUGAUCAAACUCCAAACGGCGUCGUUUCAUAUGUCACAUAAGGGCCAAAGAUAAAACCCUAAUCUGAUAGGUACCCUUUCAUUCUUUCAAAACGAAAGGAAAAAAAGAAAAAAAAGAAAAAAAAACAAAAAAAACAGAGAGCUCAAAAGCUCUCCUCUCUGCGCCGCUCUUGCGCCCUCGACCUCCGCCAAGACUCCGAUUGCAACAGAGGUGGUCAGAGAUCCGACGGCCAGGUAAGUGCCCCCUCUUUCUUUGCCUUUCGUUUUACACUACUAAUGAACAACGCAGUAGAAAAGCAAGGAAAAACAGAGAAAGAUUUAAAAGAAAACAGCCCCUAAACAGAAGUCAGAUUCGAAAUCACCUCCAAGACUUUUUUUUUCCGAAACUUGUUUUUGAUUUCUUUUUGUAUUCAAUCUCGGUGUGUGGGUGUUUUUACAUUCGAUCUUCCUUUAAAAAAAAAGGGAACCCCUUUUACAAUUUCGAAAACGGCUUUAUAGCCAAAAAAAUCAUAGAAACUUUACAGGUAAUUUUUCUAAAAAACCUGCUAUUUCUCUGCUAUUCUCUUUUUUACGUUCGUUGCGUUUUCUGCUUUUGUUGUCUACUGUUGUGUGCGUGUUGUUGCAGGUAUACGGGCGUAUAAGGACGUGGUGCGGUGCAAUGCAUGAAGGGGUGGUCCCUGGCGGUGGCGUGGCUCGGCUCGGAGGCUUGCUGGAGCGGCGGCUGAGGCGUGCGAGGCUUGUGGGGCCAAAGGAAAGCCCUAGUGGCUGCGGCGCUGGCUGCUCACCCUAGCUGCUAGGGUUUCGCUUGUGGCUUUGGGCUUAGGUGAUUUGGGCCAUUGGGUUUAGUGGGUCAAGCUGGUAUUGGGUUAACAGUUUAGGCUUGGGACUUUGGAUUUUGUAAUCGGGUUUGGGCUUAAUCUACUUGGUUUGUAAUUUGGACUGUUAAUAAUUUAAUUUUUUAUAUUAUUAUUAUUAUUAUUUGGUUUAUUUUGUUGGUUUAUGGGUCGGGAAAAAAUGGGUUCUUACAGCCCUUAUGUGUAUUGUAUUGCUUAUUUGUACUUAUCGAUUAUUUGUCAUCCAUUAGAGUACAUUUUGGUUUACGAAUUAUCACUUCGCAUUGUAUAUUAUCAUUUCCACCACGCUUUAUUUGCUCAAAAAUUAUGUUUAAUAUGACUUAAGUUUCGAAAUCAUUUUUAUCCAAAAGUUUCGAAGAUAAUGUAACACUCAGUAUUUGAGAUUUUUGAAAAGAUCGUACCCUAACUUAUCGGGUCUCAAUUUUUUGAUAAUUUCAAAUAUAUGAACCUUUUUCUUUAAAAGGCACAUUUCUUAAAAAUUAUAUCGGGAAUCAAGAAAGGACCAUGUUCCAACUUACGGGAUAUAAUCUCUUUUCCGAAACCAGGACGAUCAAAACUUUUAAAAGUAAAUAAAUUUUUGGUGUUCAUUCUUGUUUCGGAAUUUAAGAUAUUGUGUCCUAAUUCACAGGAUAUAAUUCUUUUUCUCGAUUAACGAGAAAUCACCCUUCUUGAAAUUUUAAAAGUAAUUUUAACUAAAGGAUCAUAUUUUUAAAUUUUUAAUUUUUCGACAUUAAGACAUUAAUUAAUCAAUUAGGUACCAAUUUGGGCAUAACGAGGGUGCUAAUCCUUCCUUGCAUGUAACCGACUCCCGAACCCGUUUUUCUAGAAUUUCGCAGAACAAAAUUAUUAUUUUAAUAAAAUCAAAACGUUUUAUCAAAACGAUUGAAUUGUAGGGUGAUCCGACCACACCUCAAAAAAAUGUCAGUGGUGACUCCCAUUUUUUUCGUUUUUUAAAAAUCCAAGUCGACUAAUUUUUGCUUUCAAAAAGUGGUUUCGACAAUUUGUAUUUUUUAAAAAAUCAAUAAUUAAAUUUAACAUGUAAAUCGAGAUUUUUUUUAUUCAAUGAUACAAAUUUUUUUUUAUCUGAAAUCCAAUUUCAAAUUUUAAAUUUAAAGUGGUUACAAAAUGGAAUAAUAGACUUUAUAGAAAGGGAAAAGUAGGGGUUGAAACCAACCUAAAUUUAGAAAGAGAACAUGUCAUCCACACUCUCAUUUUGAACAAGACAUUACACCCACCAAACUCAUCUAACGCAAAUCAAGGAUGCGUUUCCUUGCUUCACGACAUCAAAUUUCAUCUUCUACAUUUUUAUCCAAGUGUUUUUCCACCCCUAAAAUUCUUGCCUUUUUGUCGUCGCCAUUGUUCAUCAGCUCAACAUUGAUAAAACAAAAACUAAUUACAGAUGAUUCCUUAAACUCUGAUUUCCUAUACCAUUAAUGAAUCAUUUGAGCUAUUCUACAUUCUCUUCCACUUUCAACAGAGGAACCUUGCUGCUAGAUGUAGUCCUUUCAUCUUCUUUUGCUUUUCCCCAUAUCACAGCAUAAAAUCCUAUUGAUAUAAUAAUUGCUCCAAUAAUACUGCAAAAUUAAGAUAGAAUUUAUAUAGAUUGCUUCUCAAAUGAUUCUAACAUGAAAACUAUGGAAAACAGUACCUUCCAAGAUACAGGGAAUCACCCAGGAAAAUGGCACUCAUAAAAGCAGCAAUGGCGAUUGAUACUGGUUUGAAUAUUGCAAUGUAGACAGGUCCUUUCAAAUGCAGCCCCCAUGAGAUCGCAAAUGUGCUAAAGGCUUGGAGUACACCCUACACAAUUUUAAAAAGUUUUCAAACAUGUCCAAAUAUAUGUCAUACAUGGCUACUAAAUUGUAGUUCUAACUUCUUACAGAGUAUAGGACUGCAAUAACCGCAACACUAGGCCUUAGCAUCCAAGAACUUAACUCAGAUUCUGCUAUUAAGGAAACCGGUGCAGAGAUAAUUGCCCCACAUAUGUUGUAAAACAAUGCAACAAGCAAUUCAGCUGGGUAAAUCUCCAUAACUUGGGUCUGGGAGAUUCCAAAAUCCCAAGUUCAGUUCAGUUUAUUCGAAAGUUUUCAACAUUGUAGAGGAGUGCUUAGAGAUGCAUGAUUUACCUGGAUAAUGUACCGAAUCGAAAAUAGAAGAUAGGCAACAGCAAGUAGGAUCCCACCAAUGACCCAAUUUGAAUAUGAAGGUUGAAGUAAAGUAGAAGAUGGUGAUGGAGAGGAAAAAACUUGGGGGCCUUUGUAAAGAACAACUAAUAAUGCGCCUGAAAUUGAUGCUAUGGUCCCCAUGAUUUUAGCUUGACUGGUUGAGCUUCUCAAUGCUACUCUUUCCAAUCUUGUUAUUUUUAGCAUCAAAUCAAAGGUAGAAACAAUAAAAAUUAAUGUUUAGUGCUUUUUUUUUUAAAUCUAAU
rnacentral:lncRNA from 1 species